UACGUAGGGGGCAAGCGUUGUCCGGAAUUACUGGGUGUAAAGGGAGCGCAGACGGCAAUGCAAGCCAGGAGUGAAAGCCCGGGGCCCAACCCCGGGACUGCUCUUGGAACUGCAUGGCUGGAGUACAGGAGGGGCAGGCGGAAUUCCUAGUGUAGCGGUGAAAUGCGUAGAUAUUAGGAGGAACACCGGUGGCGAAGGCGGCCUGCUGGACUGUGACUGACGUUGAGGCCCGAAGGCGUGGGGAGCAAACAGG
rnacentral:rRNA from 1 species